rnacentral:misc_RNA from 1 species
GAAAUGCGAUAAGUAAUGUGAAUUGCAGAAUUCAGUGAAUCAUCGAAUCUUUGAACGCACCUUGCGCUCCUUGGUAUUCCUUGGAGCAUGCCUGUUUGAGUAUCAUGAAAUCUUCAAAGUAAAUCUUUUGUUAACUCAAUUGGUUUCUACUUUGGUAUUGGAGGUCUUUGCAGCUUCACACCUGCUCCUCUUUGUUCAUUAGCUGGAUCUCAGUGUUAUGCUUGGUUCCACUCGGCGUGAUAAGUUAUCUAUCGCUGAGGACACUGUAAAAGGUGGCCAAGGUAAAUGCAGAUGAACCGCUUCUAGUAGUCCAUUGACUUGAACAAUACUUUUAUGAUCUGAUCUCAAAUCAGGUAGGACUACCCGCUGAACUUAAGC